rnacentral:rRNA from 1 species
UACGUAGGGCGCAAGCGUUGUCCGGAAUUAUUGGGCGUAAAGAGCUCGUAGGCGGUCUGUUACGUCUGCUGUGAAAACCCAGGGCUUAACCCUGGGCUUGCAGUGGAUACGGGCAUCACUGGAGUUCGGCAGGGGAGACUGGAAUUCCUGGUGUAGCGGUGAAAUGCGCAGAUAUCAGGAGGAACACCGGUGGCGAAGGCGGGUCUCUGGGCCGAUACUGACGCUGAGGAGCGAAAGCGUGGGGAGCGAACAGG